UACGUAGGGUGCAAGCGUUAAUCGGAAUUACUGGGCGUAAAGCGUGCGCAGGCGGUUAUGUAAGACAGAUGUGAAAUGCCCGGGCUUAACCUGGGAACUGCAUUUGUGACUGCAUGGCUAGAGUUUGGCAGAGGGGGGUAGAAUUCCACGUGUAGCAGUGAAAUGCGUAGAUAUGUGGAGGAACACCGAUGGCGCAAGGCAGCCCCCUGGGUCAAGACUGACGCUCAUGCACGAAAGCGUGGGGAGCAAACAGG
rnacentral:rRNA from 1 species